rnacentral:rRNA from 1 species
UACGUAGGGUGCGAGCGUUGUCCGGAAUUACUGGGCGUAAAGCGCGCGUAGGCGGCCGCUUAAGUCGGAUGUGAAAGCCCCUGGCUCAACUGGGGAAGUGCACCCGAAACUGAGUGGCUUGAGUACUAAAGAGGGUCGCGGAAUUCCCGGUGUAGAGGUGAAAUUCGUAGAUAUCGGGAGGAACACCGGUGGCGAAGGCGGCGACCUGGGUAGAUACUGACGCUGAGCUGCGCGAAAGCGUGGGGAGCAAACAGGAUUAGA